GAUGAACGCUGGCUACAGGCUUAACACAUGCAAGUCGAGGGGAAACGACAGGGAAGCUUGCUUCCUUGGGCGUCGACCGGCGCACGGGUGAGUAACGCGUAUCCAACCUGCCUCUGACUGAGGGAUAACCCGUCGAAAGUCGGCCUAAUACCUCAUGGCAUCGUCUGCGGGCAUCCAACGACGAUUAAAGAUUUCAUCGGUCAGGGAUGGGGAUGCGUCUGAUUAGCUUGUUGGCGGGGUAACGGCCCACCAAGGCUACGAUCAGUAGGGGUUCUGAGAGGAAGGUCCCCCACAUUGGAACUGAGACACGGUCCAAACUCCUACGGGAGGCAGCAGUGAGGAAUAUUGGUCAAUGGGCGAGAGCCUGAACCAGCCAAGUAGCGUGCAGGAUGACGGCCCUAUGGGUUGUAAACUGCUUUUAUGCGGGGAUAAAGUGAGGGACGUGUCCUUCAUUGCAGGUACCGCAUGAAUAAGGACCGGCCAAUUCCGUGCCAGCAGCCGCGGUAAUACGGAAGGUCCGGGCGUUAUCCGGAUUUAUUGGGUUUAAAGGGAGCGUAGGCCGUGGAUUAAGCGUGUUGUGAAAUGCAGGUGCUCAACGUCUGCACUGCAGCGCGAACUGGUUCACUUGAGUGUGCGCAAUGCAGGCGGAAUUCGUCGUGUAGCGGUGAAAUGCUUAGAUAUGACGAAGAACUCCGAUUGCGAAGGCAGCUUGCGGGAGCACAACUGACGCUGAAGCUCGAAAGUGCGGGGUAUCGAACAGG
rnacentral:rRNA from 1 species